rnacentral:lncRNA from 1 species
CACUUUAUUUUACAGGCAUUACACAGUUCUGAUACCUGGUGGCCGGGCAUGUGUGGUACGGCAGGCCGAGUGUGACAGUGAGAAGUGGUGCUACCCUGCUCCAGCUGGAUGGGGCCAGAUCUUCCUGUAACUCAAGAGAUGCUGAAAAUCAAGGAAAGCCUGUCCAGAUCCAAGGGGUAGCAUUUGAGAUCUCCUGUUCAGACCCAUUCCUGAGGAUGAGAGGUGGAGAGGGGAGAGCGCAGAGACCAGAGUCGACCUGCAGGGACUACUGGGAAGAGGACCCACAUCUGUGAUCUGAUCACUAGAAGGCGGCUUUGCACCUACCCAGCGGCCGGCUGCGCCCCAAGCUCAAAGGGUUAAGCAGGUGCCUGGCCCGGAGAGGCAC